UCUUAGGCAUGGCAAGUCGAACGGAUGACAAGAGAGCUUGCUCUCUUGAAGUCAGUGGCGCACGAGUGAGUAACGCGUGGGAAACUGCCUUCACUGGGGAAUAACGUUUGGAAACGAACGCUAAUACCGCAUACGCCCGCAAGGGGAAAGAUUUAUCGGUGAUGGAUGUGCCCGCGUUGGAUUAGCUAGUUGGUGGGUAAUGGCCUACCAAGGCGAUGAUCCAUAGCUGGUCUGAGAGGACGAUCAGCCACGCUGGAACUGAGACACGGUCCAGACUCCUACGGGAGGCAGCAGCUAAGAAUAUUGGGCAAUGGAGGAAACUCUGACCCAGCCAAUGCCGCGUGAAUGAAGAAGGCCUUCGGGUUGUAAAGUUCUUUUAGUCAUGAAGAUGAUGACAGUAGUGACAGAAAAAGCACCGGCUAACUUCGUGCCAGCCGCUGC
rnacentral:rRNA from 1 species